AACGAACGCUGGCGGCGCGCCUAACACAUGCAAGUCGAACGCGAAAGUGUAGCAAUACAUGAGUAAAGUGGCGCACGGGUGAGUAACACGUAGGUAAUCUAGCUUAGUGACCGGGAUACUAGCCGAAAGGUUAGCUAAUACUGGAUAGAGCACAGGGCCUGUAAAGGGUUUUGUGGGAAAGGGAGGCAGUAGUAAUACUGCUUUAGCACUGAGAUGAGCCUGCGUCUCAUUAGCUAGUUGGUAGGGUAACGGCCUACCAAGGCAAUGAUGGGUAGCCGGUCUAGGAGGACGAUCAGCCACACUGGAACUGAAACACGGUCCAGACUCCUACGGGAGGCAGCAGUGGGGAAUCUUGCGCAAUGGACGAAAGUCUGACGCAGCGACGCCGCGUGGGUGAAGAAGGCCUUCGGGUUGUAAAGCCCUGUCGAGUGGGAAAAACGAUUUGUAGAAUAAUAAGCUACAGGAGUGAUGGUACCACUAGAGGAAGCACCGGCUAACUCCGUGCCAGCCGCCGCGGUAA
rnacentral:rRNA from 1 species